GACGAACGCUGGCGGCGUGCUUAACACAUGCAAGUCGAACGGAAAGGCCCUGCUUUUGUGGGGUGCUCGAGUGGCGAACGGGUGAGUAACACGUGAGUAACCUGCCCUUGACUUUGGGAUAACUUCAGGAAACUGGGGCUAAUACCGGAUAGGAGCUCCUGCUGCAUGGUGGGGGUUGGAAAGUUUCGGCGGUUGGGGAUGGACUCGCGGCUUAUCAGCUUGUUGGUGGGGUAGUGGCUUACCAAGGCUUUGACGGGUAGCCGGCCUGAGAGGGUGACCGGCCACAUUGGGCCUGCGAUACGGCCCAGACUCCUACGGGAGGCAGCAGUGGAGAAUAUUGCGCAAUGGGCGGAAGCCUGAUGCAGCAACGCCGCGUGCGGGAUGACGGCCUUCGGGUUGUAAACCGCUUUCGCCUGUGACGAAGCGUGAGUGACGGUAAUGGGUAAAGAAGCACCGGCUAACUACGUG
rnacentral:rRNA from 1 species